UUACCGGCUUGACAUGACAGAAACCUAUUCGUACACAGGUGCUGCAUGGCUGUCGUCAGCUCGUGUCGUGAGAUGUUGGGUUAAGUCCUCUAACGAGCGCAACCCUGCUUCAGUUGCUACCCAUGGGACUCUGAGGGACUGCCUGGGAAACAGGAGGAAGGUGGGGAUGACGUCAAGUCAUCAUGGUCCUUAUGCCGGGCUACACACGUGUUACAAUGGGGUACACGGGGCACCGCGAGGGGAGCAAUCCAAAAACCGUCUAAGUUCAGAUUGGAGUCUGCAACUCGACUCCAUGAAGUUGAAAUCGCUAGUAAUCGCGAUCAGCACGCGCGGUNNNUNCGUUCUCGGACCUUGUACACACCGCCCGUCACACCACGAAAGUUGUUGACCAAA
rnacentral:rRNA from 1 species